GAACAUCUGUCUACACUGAGAGCACGUCAUCAUGUUACAUCCUCCGUUCUUCUACACAACACAAAACACAACAAUUCCUCUGUUCCAUGGUAAGUCUUUUUGCAGACGACACAGAAGGCAUAGCUGCACGCGGAGCACAUUGCUGCUUUGCUGGACUUCUCUUGAAUGACGGCCGAACCACAGGAACGCCGAGGACAGUACACAAUAUCUGAGAGGAAGGGGGAUAAGAAGAAAGGGAGAGUGUUUAUUGAUAAGAAGGGAAACACACCAGACAUGCAGUCCAGUGUAUUCUGUAGCAGGAGACGAUCGUAGCGGCUGAACAGCUCCUCUCCUACCAGACUCCUCACCUACCAAACAUAGACAUAGAGAAGAGACAAAAUGUG